GACGAACGCUGGCGGCGUGCCUAAUACAUGCAAGUAGAACGCUGGAGGAGGAGCUUGCUUCUCUGGAUGAGUUGCGAACGGGUGAGUAACGCGUAGGUAACCUGCCUGGUAGCGGGGGAUAACUAUUGGAAACGAUAGCUAAUACCGCAUAAUAUUGACUAUUGCAUGAUAGUCAGUUGAAAGGUGCACUGCACCACUACCAGAUGGACCUGCGUUGUAUUAGCUAGUUGGUGGGGUAACGGCUCACCAAGGCGACGAUACAUAGCCGACCUGAGAGGGUGAUCGGCCACACUGGGACUGAGACACGGCCCAGACUCCUACGGGAGGCAGCAGUAGGGAAUCUUCGGCAAUGGACGGAAGUCUGACCGAGCAACGCCGCGUGAGUGAAGAAGGUUUUCGGAUCGUAAAGCUCUGUUGUAAGAGAAGAACGAGUGUGAGAGUGGAAAGCUCACACUGUGACGGUAUCUUACCAGAAAGGGACGGCUAACUACGUG
rnacentral:rRNA from 1 species